rnacentral:rRNA from 1 species
GAUGAACGCUGGCGGCGUGCUUAACACAUGCAAGUCGAACGGAAAGGCCCAAGCUUGCUUGGGUCCUCGAGUGGCGAACGGGUGAGUAACACGUGGGUGAUCUGCCCUGCACUUCGGGAUAAGCCUGGGAAACUGGGUCUAAUACCGGAUAGGACCACAUUUUGGAUGGUGUGGUGGAAAGUUUUUCGGUGUGGGAUGAGCUCGCGGCCUAUCAGCUUGUUGGUGGGGUAAUGGCCUACCAAGGCGUCGACGGGUAGCCGGCCUGAGAGGGUGUACGGCCACAUUGGGACUGAGAUACGGCCCAGACUCCUACGGGAGGCAGCAGUGGAGAAUAUUGCACAAUGGGCGCAAGCCUGAUGCAGCGACGCCGCGUGGGGGAUGACGGCCUUCGGGUUGUAAACUCCUGUCGCUAGGGACGAAGCGCAAGUGACGGUACCUGGAGAAGAAGCACCGGCUAACUACGUG